rnacentral:rRNA from 1 species
AGUGAACGCUGGCGGUAGGCCUAACACAUGCAAGUCGAACGGCAGCACAGUAAGAGCUUGCUCUUACGGGUGGCGAGUGGCGGACGGGUGAGGAAUACAUCGGAAUCUACUUUUUCGUGGGGGAUAACGUAGGGAAACUUACGCUAAUACCGCAUACGACCUACGGGUGAAAGCAGGGGAUCUUCGGACCUUGCGCGAUUGAAUGAGCCGAUGUCGGAUUAGCUAGUUGGCGGGGUAAAGGCACACCAAGGCGACGAUCCGUAGCUGGUCUGAGAGGAUGAUCAGCCACACUGGAACUGAGACACGGUCCAGACUCCUACGGGAGGCAGCAGUGGGGAAUAUUGGACAAUGGGCGCAAGCCUGAUCCAGCCAUACCGCGUGAGUGAAGAAGGCCUUCGGGUUGUAAAGCCCUUUUGUUGGGAAAGAAAAGCAGCAGGUUAAUACCCCGCUGUUCUGACGGUACCCAAAGAAUAAGCACCGGCUAACUUCGUG